rnacentral:rRNA from 1 species
AUACGUAGGAUGCGAGCGUUAUCCGGAUUUAUUGGGAUUAAAGGGAGCGUAGGUGGGAUAUUAAGUCAGCUGUGAAAGUUUGGGGCUCAACCUUAAAAUUGCAGUUGAUACUGGUUUCCUUGAGUACGGUACAGGAGGGCGGAAUUCGUGGUGGAGCGGUGAAAUGCUUAGAUAUCACGAAGAAAUCCGCUCGCGAAUGCAGAUCACCGGGCCGGAACUGACACUGAUGCUCGAAAGUCCGGGUAUCAAACAGGAUUAGAUACCCUGGUAGUCCGCACAGUAAACGAUGAAUACUCGCUGUUUGCGAUACACUGUAAGCGGCCAAGCGAAAGCGUUAAGUAUUCCACCUGGGGAGUACGCCGGCAACGGUGAAACUUAAAGGAAUUGACGUGG